CCGAGUGAGGGCCUCCGGCCCGACCUCCAACCCUUUGUUAUCAAAACCACUGUUGCCUCGGGGGCGACCCGGGCCCGUCGGUCUGGGGCCCCCGCUGGACAAUUUCAAAACACUGCAUCUUUGCGUCGGGUUAAAAAGUUUAAUUGAUUA
rnacentral:misc_RNA from 1 species